GUAGGGAAUAUUGGGCAAUGGACGCAAGUCUGACCCAGCCACGCCGCGUGCAGGAAGACGGCCCUCUGGGUUGUAAACUGCUUUUGACUGGGAAGAAAAGACUCCUUGCGAGGAGAGUUGACGGUACCAGCAGAAUAAGCCACGGCUAACUACGUGCCAGCAGCCGCGGUAAUACGUAGGUGGCGAGCGUUAUCCGGAUUUAUUGGGUUUAAAGGGUGCGUAGGCGGCUGAUUAAGUCAGCGGUGAAAGGUAGCAGCUUAACUGUUUUACAGGCCGUUGAUACUGGUUAGCUUGAGUUAACAGAAGGCAGAUAGAAUUUCUGGUGUAGCGGUGAAAUGCUUAGAUACCAGGAGGAAUACCGAUUGCGAAGGCAGUCUGCUGCAGUUACACUGACGCUGAGGCACGAAAGUGCGGGGAUCAAACAGGAUUAGAAACCCGGGUAGUCC
rnacentral:rRNA from 1 species